AAGUAACGAAUUAAAAGGUAUUGUUAUUCAUUACAACGAUACUUUCCGAAUACAAAUAUUGCUGUGUGUAGUCUUUGCCUGUCAGCCCAUGAUAGGCUUUUUUUUUG
rnacentral:other from 2 species